GAUGGACGCUGGCGGCGUGCCUAAUACAUGCAAGUCGAGCGAACAGACGAGGAGCUUGCUCCUCUGACGUUAGCGGCGGACGGGUGAGUAACACGUGGAUAACCUACCUAUAAGACUGGGAUAACUUCGGGAAACCGGAGCUAAUACCGGAUAACAUGUUGAACCGCAUGGUUCAACAGUGAAAGACGGUCUUGCUGUCACUUAUAGAUGGAUCCGCGCCGCAUUAGCUAGUUGGUAAGGUAACGGCUUACCAAGGCAACGAUGCGUAGCCGACCUGAGAGGGUGAUCGGCCACACUGGAACUGAGACACGGUCCAGACUCCUACGGGAGGCAGCAGUAGGGAAUCUUCCGCAAUGGGCGAAAGCCUGACGGAGCAACGCCGCGUGAGUGAAGAAGGUCUUCGGAUCGUAAAACUCUGUUAUUAGGGAAGAACAAAUGUGUAAGUAACUAUGCACGUCCUGACGGUACCUAAUCAGAAAGCCACGGCUAACUACGU
rnacentral:rRNA from 1 species